GGUUGGCUCAGUGGUAGAGCACUUGCCUUGCAUGCAUGAGGCCCUGGGUUCAAUUCCUCAGCACCA
rfam:Dipodomys ordii ctg_broad_rename0012621, whole genome shotgun sequence.